GGCGAUCUCCAGGCGCGGUGGGCGCUUGUGAACCGGGUCAGGCCUUAACCGGAGCAGCCCUAAGCAACGUGUCUCAGGUGCGCCUGGGGUCGCCUUU
rnacentral:SRP_RNA from 2 species